AAAUUGAAGAGUUUGAUCAUGGCUCAGAUUGAACGCUGGCGGCAGGCCUAACACAUGCAAGUCGAGCGGUAACACAGGGAGCUUGCUCCUGGGUGACGAGCGGCGGACGGGUGAGUAAUGUCUGGGAAACUGCCUGAUGGAGGGGGAUAACUACUGGAAACGGUAGCUAAUACCGCAUAACGUCGCAAGACCAAAGAGRGGGACCUUCGGGCCUCUUGCCAUCAGAUGUGCCCAGAUGGGAUUAGCUAGUAGGUGGGGUAACGGCUCACCUAGGCGACGAUCCCUAGCUGGUCUGAGAGGAUGACCAGCCACACUGGAACUGAGACACGGUCCAGACUCCUACGGGAGGCAGCAGUGGGGAAUAUUGCACAAUGGGCGCAAGCCUGAUGCAGCCAUGCCGCGUGUAUGAAGAAGGCCUUCGGGUUGUAAAGUACUUUCAGCGGGGAGGAAGGC
rnacentral:rRNA from 1 species